GACAGAGGCCUCGAGCGUUAGGCGGAAUCACUGGGCUUAAAGCGUGUGUAGGCGGGCCCGUCAGUGUCUUGUGAAAUCCCACGGCUCAACCGUGGAACCGCUGAGCAUACUGCGGGUCUUGGGCCAACUAGGGGCAGCCGGAACAAGCGGUGGAGCGGUGAAAUGCGCAGAUAUCAGGAGGAACACCGGUGGCGAAGGCGGUUCUCUGGGAAUGACCUGACGCUGAGGAGCGAAAGUGUGGGGAGCGAACAGG
rnacentral:rRNA from 1 species